rnacentral:rRNA from 1 species
AAGGGCACUCUAAUGAGACUGCCGGUGACAAACCGGAGGAAGGUGGGGAUGACGUCAAGUCCUCAUGGCCCUUAUGGGUAGGGCUUCACACGUCAUACAAUGGUCGGUACAGAGGGUCGCCAACCCGCGAGGGGGAGCCAAUCCCAGAAACCCGAUCGUAGUCCGGAUCGCAGUCUGCAACUCGACUGCGUGAAGUCGGAAUCGCUAGUAAUCGCGGAUCAGCAU